CAUCCCGACUUACCAACCCUUUGCAAACUCCGAAUACCAGUAAGUACUAUCCGGGAGACACACGGCGGGUGCUAACGUCCGUCGUGGAGAGGGAAACAACCCAGACCGCCAGCUAAGGUCCCAAAUUACUACUAAGUGGGAAACGAUGUGGGAAGGCUCAGACAGCCAGGAUGUUGGCUUAGAAGCAGCCAUCAUUUAAAGAAAGCGUAAUAGCUCACUGGUCGAGUCGGCCUGCGCGGAAGAUGUAACGGGG
rnacentral:rRNA from 1 species